UGGAACUUGAAUUCCCACACCCUUAUCUCUGGGGCCUCGAUUUCCUCAUUUGUGCAAUGGGCAGAAGAGUCCCUACCUGUUAGGGUUGAGUAUCCUAUGAGCUUAUGGGUUCCUGCUGCAGCUGGAGCUGUGGAAAGGGGCUGAAUGAGUGACGCAAGUGCAAGGGGGACAGAGACAGGCUGCUGGGAGGAAGAAUACUCUUCCAAUGAGAGCCACCCAAGCCUGGAAGAGGCGGCACUGUGUGUAAGGAGAUCCUGUCACUGGAGCCAUCCCUCCAGCUGCACCUGUGGUUGGUCACAGAUCAGAAGCCAACCUUUGAAAUCCAAAGCGCGGAGAACCAAGAUGGCAGCAUAGGUUAACGCCGGAGAUUGCUGCCUUGAACAACCAAAUCAAAACACACCUAAA